rnacentral:rRNA from 1 species
GAUGAACGCUGGCGGCGUGCCUAAUACAUGCAAGUCGAGCGAACGGACGAGAAGCUUGCUUCUCUGAUGUUAGCGGCGGACGGGUGAGUAACACGUGGAUAACCUACCUAUAAGACUGGGAUAACUUCGGGAAACCGGAGCUAAUACCGGAUAAUAUUUUGAACCGCAUGGUUCAAAAGUGAAAGACGGUCUUGCUGUCACUUAUAGAUGGAUCCGCGCUGCAUUAGCUAGUUGGUAAGGUAACGGCUUACCAAGGCAACGAUGCAUAGCCGACCUGAGAGGGUGAUCGGCCACACUGGAACUGAGACACGGUCCAGACUCCUACGGGAGGCAGCAGUAGGGAAUCUUCCGCAAUGGGCGACAGCCUGACGGAGCAACGCCGCGUGAGUGAUGAAGGUCUUCGGAUCGUAAAACUCUGUUAUUAGGGAAGAACAUAUGUGUAAGUAACUGUGCACAUCUUGACGGUACCUAAUCAGAAAGCCACGGCUAACUACGUG